UUGGGAAAGCACAGGAGCCCUGAGCAAGCGCUAGCCCGGGGCUGACUUGUCUUCUCUGACCACCAGAGGGCGCUGUAUUCUAGGCACUUGCUUGGCGCUCCCCAGGGCCUGGGCUGUUUACCCAACCCCAGCUGGUGCUCCCGCGCUUUCAAGGGAGUGAACGUCCUCCCCCGCCCCCAACACGCACACUCCUACAGUCUCUCCCCAACUGCAGCCAAGGCUAACGUUGAAAAUUUGAAGGAGGAGCUUAUGCAGCCUCCAGGAAGGGGAAGAUUUGCAUGGAGAUCUCCCACUCUGAGGAUCAGGGUGACAUAUAAGAAUUGGUGGACUCAGUUCUGCGAGGCUCCGGAAGCAACGCCUAGGACAGGUUGUCUCCACCAUGGCCUGGGCUCUAAUCCUCUUCACUCUGUUUGCUCAUUGCACAGGGUCUUGGACCCAGGUUGUGUUUACGCAGCCUCAGUCUGUGUCAGGGUCUCCAGGGCAGAAGGUCACCAUCUCCUGCACCCACAGCAGCGGCAACAUUGGGCGCAAUUAUGUGCACUGGUACCAGCAGCGCCCGGGCGGCACCCCCACCACUGUGAUCUAUAGAGAUAACCAAAGACCCUCUGGGGUUCCAGAUCGGUUCUCAGGCUCCAUCCACAGCUCUUCCAACUCGGCCUCCCUGACCAUCUCUGAUCUGCAGACUGAGGACGAGGUCGACUAUUACUGUCUGUCUAGUUAUGAUAACUAUUAUCACACAGUGCUCUAG